UUAAAGGAGGAGCAUGGCUUGGCUUUGCUAGCACGUUUUUCAUCUCCGUUAGUCGAAUACACCCAUGUUGUACCAAAGGUCUUCGGGAUGUACCUGAUGUACUGUGGUGGCCGCAUAAUCACUCAGUGAAUUGGUUCAAUCCAGGUCUUGGUUUUUUUAAAGUUUUUUACAGUUUUAAUUUGCAGAUAUCCUGGAGGUACAUGAUGUGUUGAAUUGGCGUAGAAGCCACUCAAUGACAGAAGGGAAUGCCACCAAUGUUAUAUUGUCAGUGUAAAUAAAACAUAUCCAGUAUCA